rnacentral:lncRNA from 1 species
UUUCCAUAAGCUUAAACCACUCUGGCUUACCAUGUCUUAUGCUAAGGCAGCUCUGCAUGUGCUCUUGAGCCGGUUGAAAAUGUGGCUUACGUGUAAAAUAACUCUUUAUAGAAGCUUAUGCUGAAAAAUUCAGAUGGGUUUAGCGCAAUGGCUUUAGCACUGAUGAUACCAGAGAGAUCUUAGUGAAAAAUAGUGUGCUAGUCUCAAGCAGGCGUAGUUCAGAGAUGCAGCAGUAAAGUCAUUGCAUCAAAAGAAAAUGAAGGUUGAAAAAUGAUGUAUUUCCUGAAAAUAAUUGCUUCCUAUCAACUUAACUGUUGGCUCAUGUUGAACUGUUGUCACCAGCUGUUUCUCUGUCUUUUAAGAAAAGAAAAAGUAGAAUUUUUACAAGCAAAUGUUGAUGUUCUAAUGAUAACUACAGGCCUUACUGAGAUUAUUUUUACUGUUUGGAUUAUCAGCUGCAUAGGUUGGUAAGAGCCUAAGAGUUCAAAUGCAAGUCUGUUUAAAAAAUGAUCACCAAACUGAUGCUCUUUGAACCACAGAACAAAAGUGAGCAGUUAUGUAAUUUUUUAUUGUUUAAAAAUAAUACACUGGAGUUCUUGAAAAAUCGUCAAUAAGUAUUUCCUUUUGCCAGUUCUAUGCCUCUGGGAUAAAGUAAAACAGCUUAAAUAUUUAGUGCUCAUGCAAAACUAUACCAGUAGAUUUACACUACUACAGAAGUUUCCAGAUUGUGUAUUUAGCUUUAUACUAUUACACAACAGUUGGUCUUCAAAUAUGGGAGCGCUACUAUCAUUCCAUUUUUUCCUUUUAGUUGAUCUUUCACACAUUGAUUCCUUCUUUUUAGCCUGCAAUACUGAAUUCUGCACUGAGCAAGGAACCUGGACACACACAACUUGAAGGUUACUUGUAUCUGAUGCAGGAAUGACAAUGCAUAUCCUUGCUUUCUUUAGUUGGCCCCAUCAGAAAAAGAGAUGAUGCAGUAAGAAAGUUUUGAGGGGAAGAAAGAUUCCAGCUAAAGUAGAGCAUUAGUAGUCAUCAGCUAGAAAAUAAAAAGGUUAAGAGAAAGAGAUUAAUAGAUUUUUUGCAAUAGGAAAGAUACAAGAAGAGCAUUUGAGACUUAAGCAAAUGAAAACACUAACUCUUACUUUCAAUGGUGAGAAUACAGGUGCUAGCAGAUGUGCCUCUGUUGUUGACUGCUUUACACAUAUAUUCACCUUCAUCUUCUGGGAAGGUUUCGGGCAGAUAAAGGCAAUAGGUUUCUCCUCUUUCAAUAUAUUGAUAGUCCUCAGAGUCCUGCAACAUUUCCCCCUCGAACCACCAUGUGACUUGAGGUUUUGGUUCUCCAGUAAUUUUAACUGUAAAUCUCACUGGCUCACCAUCAACAACUGAUGUGUUUUUCAGUGACUUCUUGAACCAGGGAGCUCCAGAUCGAGCUUGAUCUUCCUCAUCUUCACAAGUAGAACCAUUAAUAACACUUCCCUCAUCAUCUUCUUCCUCUUCCCUUUUCUUCUGUAAUGCAGCAUCAAUUUCUUUUUGUUCGAACUGCAUGCGUAGUAAUUUUUGUUCUUCAAUUCUCCUCUGUUCUUCUUCUUCCCUAGCCCUUGCCAUUUGCUCAAAACGUGCCUUCAUAUUUACUUUAUGAGUAAAUGGAGCCUCAGAUUUCUUGGCUGGUCUCACAUCUACCUCAUCAUCCUUGGGGAAAAAAAAAAGAAGAGGGCAUUACUCAUGUUUUACUUUUUAAAUGUCCAUAGUAAUAGUACCAAUUUAAUACAUCAAUAAUUUUUAACUGUGCAAAGCCACCCUCAGUCCUCUUGGUUAUUUUUCUCCCCACACAUUUGUUUAAUGUUGGAUUUAAAAUGAAGUCUCUUAAUAAUUUCUCAGGUUGUGAGAUGGGUGGUUUUUUUCCCCCUGAAAAUUACCAGAAACGUUGCAGUUGAUGAACCUUAAUCUAAUAUUUCAAUGAGAAGUUUUUCUAAAAAAAAUUCGUUUAUUGGGUCUGCAAGGGGUGGAUUCAAGAAACAGAAUGUAUUGCACAUGUAGAAGUCUGUACUAUGAAUUCAGAUGUUUCCUAUAAUGUCCCACUCUCGAUCACACUUUAUUAGCUGUAAUUUGUUGUAACACUACAGAAAUAACUUUGGCUACAGCCAAAGAUUAGAGAUUGGAUUAGAGAUGAUAAACUAUUAAACAAAGGUAAGGAAAAAAGAAUGCAGGAUUUUUGAAAAAUACAUUUACUGCUUCUUUAAGGACAGUUGUAAAGCACUGAAGUGAAUUGUCUUAGGAUAUACAUUUUUAUACUGGGGAGCAAAGUAAGCGUGCUUAGCAGUGGCCUUACUAAAUAUGUAUCCUUUCUUGUUUUGAGAAGUAGUAGUGAUUUUUAUUAGGUUUCUUGCCUCAAAAAGAAUACUCAGACUUUUUUUGCAACCGCCCAUGCUUGGAUUUUGGGUUGUUUGGGGGUUUUUGUCAUUUUUGUUGAUUUUGGUUUGUUUUUCCUACAGCUAAUUUUACAGAGAAUUUAAUUUUCUUCACCUCAGAUGGGGAGAAUAAAUCCUAUUGGACCUAUGCUGUAAUUCUCCAUAUUCCUGUCCAAGGAAAAAUCCUAUUUUCCCAAGAAUCCACGAAGUAUAGAAAUAAUAACUGGAAUGUUUGCUUUCCCUUACUGUCACGUAGUAGAGAGAUGGCACUUUGCAACUAGCUGGUGUCUUAGAAGUCACUGCUGAUUUGCUUGUACCAGUUCUUUUCUUAUUUGUGCUAUUGGCCUUUUUAUUUGUGGCCUUGAAAAGCAGGCCUUCCCAAUUAAGUUGUCUGCUCUGUGGGCUGUUCUUUAGCUGGGCUUGUUCUCCAUUUUUUGGAAAAUAAUCAACUUAAUGAUCAUAGAAAAUUAUUGUAGAGUAGAUGAGAGAAGGGAGAAGAUUAUAGAUAGAAAUAUAAAAUAUUUGCAGAAUAUUUUCUAAAGCUUUUACUUUCAUGUGUGAGUUGCAUACCCUCCUGGGGCAGUGGUAAGUCCUUAGUCACUUAACUUCUAUGUCAUGGUGUUCUGGCUUCAACACUUAGGCAGGUUGUUGACCUGAUGUCAGUGUCACUCGUUAAAUGAAAAGUUUAAAAAGUUCUGAGCUGAUACUGAAGUGAAUGAUUGUGGAUAUUAAAGCCUCAGUAUGGGGCUUUAAUUUAUAUGGUGGAGAACAAGUUAGAGUUCGGAAUGAGCAGCGACUUUUAUGACCAUUAAUAGAACAGACUCAAAAAUCAGCAUGUUUCAGCACCUCAGGCCAACAGGUUGUUAAGGCGCUGAAUUAAAGUAUGAGCAGAAAAACAGAUCUCUGCUUGAGUGCAAAUGAUUGAUGAUAAUAAACUGGUGCUGUUUCUCUUAGAGAUGCCACCAUCAUAUGUCCAAAGAAGGGAACAGAGAAGUGGGGACAGAAUCAUGUUAAAAAUACAGCAAAUUUUGGUGAAAGCAGUAUUGCCCAGUACUAUCAGUUGUGUUAGUUAAGUAAAUCAUUACCAUACAGAAUACAAAUUACCUCUUGAAACUUCUCAGCUUCCCUUUCUCUUAUUUCUUCAUCCAUUGCUCUUCUUUUGGCUCGUUCUUCUUCAAUCUUCUUUUGUAUUUCUUCUUGAGACAAUUGUCCUAUCUUCUCAAACUUGCUUUUCAGAUUCUUCGCUUGAAUAGAACCACUUCUUUUUAGCUUUAUUAAUUCUUCAUAUUCUUUGCUUAGCUCAAAAGUUUCAGACUCCUCUUCCAGCUGUUAGAAAUAACAGAACAUAUAAGAUAGAAAAUAUCCUGGUUAUUUUCACUACCUGUUCUCCCCAUAGAUUGGUGUUAUUUGAAUACUUGAACAAUUCUUUUAGCUUGGAGUUAUUAGAAGGAAAAGGUCUUCAACGUGAAAUAACUUUUCUCUCGGUGUGGUCUGGACUCUACUGAGUUUAUAGCAUCUUUAAGCUUUAAUUUUAAAAUAUUUUUUCUCUGGUUUUACAGAACAAAUAAAUGAGAUUUCAGGAUGUCACGGCUGGAAAAGAAGUGACAUUUCUGGAGACUGCAGUCAAACUAUGUCUGAUGCUGCAAUUGUUUAUAUUCUGCUCUAUCACUUCAUGACCUCUGAUGGCAGUAAGAGAAUGCAUUUUAGUUGUGUGUCCCCCAGCAUGCAAUUCAAAAUGCACUUGCACAGCUCACAGGCUGCAGCCUUUAUUACUCACUCUAGCUUUGCUUACAAAAAGAAAAAAAAAAAAAGUCAACCUCUAAUAUUCAAAAGGGAAUCAUAUUCUGAAAAUCACCACCCACAGGCAAAUCAAAUUGGUGUACACUUCGUGAAUGUGAUGUUUUAGUCAUCUGGUAUGCAAGGCGAAUUCUGCGUGUGAUUCUUAAAAUCAGCUGUGACAGCCUUCAAAUCCUUGCUACACUCACUAGAAACAACGUGAGGUCACUGUAAUUGUUUUCAAGUUAUUUAACGCAGCAUUUCCCUGACGAGGGCAGGAAUUUUGCUUUUUUUUUUUCCAUUUUUUUAAUUUUGAAUGUAGGUGUUUCUAUUUUCUCAGUAUUGGAAAGACAGCGUAUGCAUUUUAUUAACGCAGUAGAAUUUGCAGGUAACUUCAGUAAAAUCCUACAACAACCAAUUUGAAAUUGUUUUUACUUAAAGGGUAGCAAGGGGAUACAAGUGUUUUCCUGGCAGAUUAGUAAUUAAAUGUAUGCAACGUUAUAAAAAGAUAUUUUUGAUUUUCAUUCUUGGCACAUAAUACAGGGAGUAUUGAUUUAAAAUCCCUUAAAAAGGAACUUCCAGUUAAAAUCUUAAACUCUGAAAUUUGAAUAUUGUAUUUUCCUCAGAGCAUGCUGAACACAUCUGAUAUACAAACCUCUCCCAUUUCUUGUCUUAGUUGUUGGAAUUCUUGCUUUUCCAUUUCCAACUUUUGCCUACGCUCCUCUUCCGUGCGUCUCUUUUCUUCUUCCAUCUUUUGUCUCAGCAUCUCCUCAAAAUUAAUUUCCAGUUUACCAGGGAUGAGAGAUUCUUGAGAAAAUGUUUUAAACAUUUCCGGUGAUUCAUCAUCAUCCAGCACCAUGUUCUUCCGUGCUUCAGCAAACGCCCUUCUCUCUUCUUCUAUGCGUCUUCUUGCAUCUUGUUCUGCUCUCCUCUUUUCCUCUUCUCUCCUCAGUCUUUCCAUCUCCUCAAAACUGAGCCUAAGUUUACCAGGACGGAAUUCUCUACCAGAAUUUUCAGAUUCUUCAUGGCCACCUUCAUUUA